rnacentral:rRNA from 1 species
UACGUAGGGGGCAAGCGUUGUCCGGAAUCAUUGGGCGUAAAGCGCGUGUAGGCGGCUCGAUAAGUCUGCUGUGAAAGUCCAAGGCUCAACCUUGGGAUGCCGGUGGAUACUGUCGAGCUCGAGUCCGGAAGAGGAGUGUGGAAUUCCUGGUGUAGCGGUGAAAUGCGCAGAUAUCAGGAGGAACUCCAAUGGCGAAGGCAGCACUCUGGGACGUGACUGACGCUGAGACGCGAAAGCGUGGGGAGCAAACAGG